GGAACUUGCAGUGAGCUGAAUUGGGGCCACUGCACUCCAGCCUGGGUGACACAGUGAGACUGCAUCUCAAAAAAAAAAAAAGGUCUUCUAGGCUCCUAGCUCAGUUUUUACCACCCUGGGGGCACAAGUUCUGUCUUUGAAUUAUUUUCUUUCCCAGGCUUAAAGCCCUGUCUCCCAGCCUGUAAUACUAAUCACUUUCCUGAUUAUCCAGUGAGCCCAAUGGCUUCGGCCUCUCAGUUUACCAUUUGUAUUAGUUUGCUAGUGUUGCCAUAACAAAGUGCCACAGACUAAGUGGCUUAAAAAGCAAAAAAAAUUAUUGUCUCACAGUUCUAGAGGUUAGAAGCCUGAGAUCAAGCUAAUUGGUAAAGUUGGUUUCUUAUGUGGGCUAUGAGGAAGAAUCUUUUCAAUGCCUCCCCUCUAGCUUCUGGUCCCUCGUUAGCAAUCUCUGGUGUUCCAUGGUGUGUAGAAGCAUAAUCCCUGCCUUCAUCUUCACAUGGUAUUCUCCUGCACGUGUGUGCCUUUGUCCAAAUUUCCCCCUCUUAAAAAAUACCAGUCCUAUUGAAGUAGGGUCUCACCUUGCUCCAUGAUGACCUUAUCCUAACUACUAAUUACAUUACAAUAGACCUAUUUCCAAAUCAGGCCACAUUCUGAGGCACUGAGAGUUAAGACUUCAAUGUGUGAGUUUCGUAGGGACACAAUUUGACUCCUAACCCCACUCGUCAUGUUUCCUCUUUAUUUGUAGCACCUGCAAAUUUCUCUUAAUUUAUAACUCAGCAAUUUAAUUUUCUUUAUACUAUUUUAUUCUGCAUAGGUAUCUGUUUGAAGUGAGGAGGCAAUGUCCCAUAUCAGCAUGAUCCACUUAAUUAGCUGGAAUUUUGUUCUUUCAUGAUUUAAAUGGUAAACAAAAAUCAUCAACUAAUAUUUUAAAAUAAAUAAGGACAUGAAAGAAGGAAUAAAAAAACAAAGCCAACUUUUCUAUCAAUAAAGAAAAGUUAGAUUUGGGAAAUAACUAGAGAACUUCUAGAAAUGCAGUAUACAAUCACUGGAGAUACAGAGCUCAGUGGAUAGGUGUGAUGUUUAAUUUUAUGUGUCAUGUUGACUGGGCUAAGGGCUACUCAGAUAGCUAGUAAAACAUUAUUUCUGGGUGUGCUGUGAAGCUGUUCCCAGAAGAGAUUAGCAUUUGAAUCAGUAGACUGAGUAAAGAUAAACUUUAUCAAUUUGGGUGAGCAUCAUCCAAUCCAUUGAGCCUCCAAAUAGAACAAAAAAGUGGAGGUAGGAAAAAUUUAAUCUUUGUUUGAGUGGGGACAUCCAUCUUCUCCUGCUGUAGGACAUUGGUACUCUUGGUUUUUGAGCCUUUGGAUUUAGAAUGUUACUUACACCAUUGGCUCCUAUACCAUUUCUCAGGCUAGUAAACCUCAACUGACUUACACUGCUGGCUUUUCUGAUUUCCCAGCUUGAAGAUGUCAGAUCAUGAGACUUCUCAGCCUCCAUCAUUACGUGAGCAAUUUCUAGAAUAAGUAUCUAUAUUGUUAUCAAUCUAUCUCCUGUUGGUUCUGUUUCUCUGUUUCUCUGUUAUGAGCUCUGACUAAUACAAUAAGUUAUGCUGUGUGUUAGACACAGUUCAAGAAAGAAUUAGUGAGAUGGAAGGUCUGAGGAGAUAAAAUGAAUGCAGCACAGAGGAAAAAAAAUAAAAGUAGAAAGGAGGGGUUAAAAAACAUGGAAAGUAAAUUGAAGAGGUCUAACGUUUGUUUCAUGAGGAGUUCCAGGAUAGGAUAGGGAGGACUAGGGAGGAAUGACAGUUGCCAUAUUUAAAGAAACAAUGGCAGAGAAUUUUCUAGAUUUGAGAAAGGCAUUGAUUUGGAAACAUGGUUAAUCCCUAAUUAUUAAAGAGUUGAUGCAGUUGGGUUUUGCUUCUCCUUACAUUCUGGGGAGAGAAAUUCUAAGAAGAUCCUUAAUUUUGUAUUGGUAUUUUAUUGGGAAGAUAUUUUGUUGGUAAAGAGGUUGAAACUACUAGCUAUUAGAUAAAAAGACUUUUCUGAGGAUUUCCCACAUUUUCCCCAUUUCCAGGUCACAUUACUUUAAAAUAAUACAAAUUAUGUACUUUUAGUUAUCAGAUAAUACAUUAUCAAAGUAGCAUUUAUUUCAUUUGUGAAAUAGAACAUGUUAAUAAAUUAAAAGAUAUUUUAAAUUAAAUCUUCUCAUCAAAGAACAUUUAGAAAAUGGGCUGAAGUUAUGCUCAUACAUAGAGUAUGUUUCAUAAUACUUAACUGCUGUGUGGUUCUUGUUCUGAAAAUAAUACUUGUUUUGAAAUUUAAAUAACAAACAAUAUUAUAUAUAUAUUUUUGCUUAAGGUUACAUUUUGUCAUAUUUGGCUGCAAAGCAUAUGGUAGAAUCAGUACAGUGUCUAUCCAAUGGAAAUAUGAACAGGACCACACAAAAUGGUUCCACUGUGUCAUUUUGUUCAAUGUGGCCUCAUGAAAGCAAAAUCUUCUCACCACAAAAACUUUCUUGUCGUUCCCGCUCUUUAAAAUAAUCACUUCUAACUUCAUUUCCAGCACCUUUUCUCCUUUCUAACUGCUGUCUACUUUAAGUGAGUUGAAGAUUCGUUUAUUUUGCUUUGAAAUUCUUCAUUCUUUAUUUUUUACCACAUUUCUAACUAUAAAAUGCAUAUUAUUAAAACAUUUUCAGCCUUUGGGAUAGUUUGAUGUUGGUAAUGUAAGAGUUUUGGCUCGUUCAUUUAGAGUUUUGUGGUAUUUGUAUUUUUGGUACAUUGGAUAUUUUUCUAUGUGUUUUAACUUUUAGAGAUUUUCUUUUAACACGUAAUUGAGAACUGACUUAAUUCUCUAAAACAUUCAAUGUAAUCUUUAUUUAGCUUUCUUUUUUAACCUGUUUAUCAGACAGUGUAUUUGUAAGGCAUUAAAAAAAAUCCAGGUAUCUUAGAUACCCACGACACAGAACCUACCUUCAAAAAAGGCAUGAAUUAUUUUCAGGUCUUCUAAAUAAGUGAGAGACAGAGCAAUAACUAAAUGUUACUGUAUAAGCAGAAGACAAAGACAUGGACAAUCAUAAUAGUCUAUUUACAAUCAUUUAAAUCUAUACAUUCUGAAGGGUAAUACCCUAAAAUGGAAUAUAAUAUUCUAAUAAAGAUUUAGGACAGAAUGUGGUUGAAGGGAAACUUUAAAUGCUAAUAGUAUUUAUUUUAAUAAAUUCCUGUAUCACAUAAUUUGUUAUUUUUUUCCUCAAUCUCAGCACAGUUGAAACUUUGAACAAGGUAAUUCUUUUUUGUGAGUAGCCUUUGCUGUGUGUGGGAUGUUCAGCAAUAUCUCUGUCUUCUAACCAGUAGAUGCUGAUAGCAUCCUCCCAAUUGUGACUAUCAAAAAUGGCUCCAGACACUGCCAAAUAUGCCCUGUGGGCCAAAGUACCCUUGACUGAAAACCACCAGGUUAGGGUAUUAUGUUGCUAAAUCAUUCAGCUUCUGGUCAAACGUAGUCUUGCCACUUAGUUCCCAGUUGUUUCACAAGAGAUACAUUUGAAUGAUUUAUUUUGGUUUCUAAAUGUACAUAUUUUUGAUCUCUGUUUUAAUCUCAUUUUAUAGAAAAUGUAGCUAUUUUAUCAAAGUCAUUUGGAAUUCAUUAUGUCUUACAGAACACAAGCAGAUACUUAACAUACAUACAUAGUAAACUUCAUAUUUUAAUUACUUUAUUCUGAAUACUAGUAAAGAUUUAAAAUGUGAUGUGAUCGAGGGUUAAUCCUUGUGAAUCAGCUUGUCCCAAAACUUGCUUUUCUAAAUGUCUUUGACAUUGUUUUGUGAGAUACUGAAAAAACCUUAUUGAAAUUAAGAGAGAUUACUUUUCUACUUACCCCUGUCUCUUUUGUAGAAGCAAAUUAAUUCUGUCUCUCAAAAUGUCUUCUUCUCACAGUCACAUUGGUUGCUUGUUAGUGAUUAAGUAGAACCAUUCUUGAAUUACACAGGACAGCAGUGUGUAGUCUCUGCUGUUCCGUGAAAAUGGAGUAUGCUGAGUGAUCCAGAAAUCAGUCUACUACUCCAUAACUCAGGUAAGGAAGAGUACGCAUGGAACACAGGAGAUCCAUUAGCGCAUCUCUUAGUGUUACCAUGCCCUGUGAUUAAGGUCAAUGGGAAACUACAAUAGCCUAAUUCAGGCAGGUCUACAAAUGGUCAAGACCCUUCAGGAAUGAAGGUUUGGGUCACUCUACCAGGAAAAAAACCCAUGACCUGCUGAGGUGCUUGCUGAAGGCAAAGGGAAUACAGAAUGGGUAGUAGAAGAAGGUAGUGAUCAAUACCAGCUAUGAUCACGUGACCAGCUGCAGAAACGAGGACUGUAACUGUCAUAAGUAUUUCCCCCUUCUUUUGUUAAAAACUUGUUUGUGCAUGUAUACAAUUGUACUAAGAAAAUAUCUUCAUUUUAUUUCCUUUUCCUUUAUCAUGUAACAUAAGAUUUAUUGACUUCAUGUCAGCAUUUAAGUAUAGUUGACUUUAUGUAAUAGUAUUUGGGUUGGGGAUUAGUGCGUUUCUGGUUGUAUGAAGGAUACUUGUAUUAUGUAAGGUAUAAUUAUGUAGUGCGUUUCUGGUUGUAUGAAGGAUACUUGUAUUAUGUAAGGUAUAAUUAUGACCUCAUUAUUGUCUUUAUUUGAAAAUUAUAAUCUCAGGAGAUGUGUAUGGGUUCACAUUGACUAGGAGUGGACUUGUGAUGGUUAAUACUGAGUUUCAACUUGAUUAGAUCGAAGGAUGCAAAGUCUUGAUCCUGGGUGUGUCUGUGAGGGUGUUGUCAAAGGAGAUUAACGUUUGAGUCAGUGGGCUGGUGAAGGCAGACCUACACUUAAUCUGGUAAGCACAAUCUAAUCAGCUUCCAGCAAAUAUAAAGUGGGCAGAAAAACAUGGAAAGAGAAGACUGGCCUAGCCUCCCAGCUUACAUCUUUCUCCCAUGUUGGAUGCUUCUUGCCCUCAAACAUCAGACUCCAAUUUCUUCAGUUUUGGGGAUUGGACUGGCUCUCUUUGCUUCUCAAACUUGCAGCCAGCCUAUUGUGGGACCUUGUGAUCAUGUAAGUUAAUACUUAGUAAACUCCCAUUUGCAUAUCUAUCUAUCUAUCUAUCUAUCUAUCUAUCUAUCUAUCUAUCUCUAUCCUAUUAGUUCUGUCCCUCUAGGGAACCCUGACUAGUACACCAAGAUUUAUCUGAAUAUAGUUAGUGUUCAUUAACUAUAUAAACAGUGAGCUAAUAAGUAGCCCAUGACUAUUUAUUUUUUUCCCCCCAAAUUUCUACUGGUAAUGGGAAUAUCUACACAUCCCACAUCAUUUCUUGAGUGAACAUUUCUUAAUGGAGACAAAGGUAGUUUUUAUAAAUGGAAUACAUAGCAAAAGAGCUGCUGCCUCAUAUAAUCAACUUCCAAGUCAGCAUUUAUUUAUUCUCAUAUUUCCUUAUGCUUUCAAAUAUAACAUUGUACAUUUUGUAUCAACAUUUUAAAUUAAGUCAUAUCAAGUAAAAACAAGGCAACUACUAUUUAACCACUGUUUAAUCCCCAAGGAAAUUCAUGCCCUCUCCCUUCUUAUUGCAAUAGCUGCUCUCUCCUUUCUUCCCAGGUCUUUUUUCUUUCCUCAUUUAGUAUUUUCUAGUUGGUUAUUCUUUUUCUCUGGCUUUAGAACUCCUGUCUUCAGCCUGUCAUAUUUCAUUAUACACUGAAUUAGACCAUGCUUGUUCUCUGGGAGUAUAAAGAAUUAAAUAACAGGAUUUAAUUAAGUCUGAUGUCUGUUUGUAGAUGGGCAGAAUCUUUUUUUUUUACUAGUUUAUUUGAAGUUGAGAACAAAGACUCAUCUUGCUUACCUUUAUUUAGUAGUUUAAAAAAAUUAAAUCAUGAUAUUGAUCCCUACCUCAAAGUAAGAAGCAAUUAUUAUCAAACAUUUUGCAAAAGAAGUGGUAAAAAUAAGCAGUAGACUUGCAGAAGGUCUGUAAUAAAUCAAGGAACCUAUCAAUAAUUAAGCAUGAUGCAUUUAAUUGUUUCUGAGUAUAGUUCAUCCAUAGUAUAUAAAAAUAUCUGAAAUCUACUCUUUCAAGUGACCCUUCUUAUGACUGAUAAAACCAUGAUACAUUCUUUUACAUUUCAAUGGUAAUAUAGUUAACAUUUCUAGAGUUUGCAUUGGGAAAAUGCCAUUUGCCUUCAUAAAGAACCUCUGCUUAAUAUGAACAUGUACUAUAGAGCCUCUCUUGGGAAGAAUUGGUUCAUACCACUAGUCAUCAAUAUUUAGGGGAAGCUGAGAAAAGAAGGUAUGGGCUUGGGUUUGUGGCAGGCACAAUUAUGGCUCCCAAAUAUGUCCAUGUCCUAAUCCCUGGAACCUGUGAAUAUGUUGUUGCAUGACAAAGGGAAAUUAAGGUAGAAGAUAGACUUAAGAUUUGCAGUCAUCUGACUUUAAAAUGGGGAAAUUAUUCCAGGUUAUCUGGGUGGAUCCAAUGUAAUCACAAGAGUCCUUAAAAGUGGAAGUGGGAGGACAUGAGCUAAGAAAUUCUGGCAGCCUGCAGGAGCUGAAAAAGGCAAGAAAAUGGAGGCUCCUUAGAGCCUCCACAAAGGAAUGCAGCCUGUUGACACACUGACUUUAACUUAGUGAGAUUCAUUUCAGAUGUCUGGCCUCCAGAACUAUAAGAUAAUAAAUCAGUGUUGUUUUAAGCUACCUAAUUUGUGGCAAUUUUUUAUAGCAGCAGUAGGAAACUAAUAGAAGGUUAUAGAGAGGGAGUUGGGAUGAGAUGGAUGAUUCAUUCCUGUGGGAUUCAGUCAUUGCAUCCAUUCUAUUGUAAUUAAAAAUAAAAAGCAUGUAAGAAGAAUUACCGCAUUAGGAUAUCAAAGAAAAUCUAACUAGACAUGUAUACUCUUUGGUAAUGGCAAAGUCAGAAAUGAUGUGAACUAAAUGUACCCAAAUUAAGGACAUACAUUUUGCCUAAAUUCAGUCACUGAUUGCCAAUUAUUUACCGAGAUUUCUACAGUCAGUUUUUACUUUUCUGUUCUUUCCACAAAAAGGAAAACAUGAUGGUACUCAAAUCUAUUGACAGCUGACUUUUGAUAAUGCUAUUGCAAUCACUGGGUAAAUCAUUACACACCAGGAUACCCUAUACAUUCAAUAUUUCCUGUUUAGACUUUUGUUGUCCUGAAGUUUUCUUAUUUUUUGUAAAAAUGCUGCCUUCUAGGAUUCUGGUUUAGUAGGAAAUGUUAGUAUUAUUUACUAUAGGAUCACAAAGGAAUGAGACACAUGGAAAGUCUUGAAGUCCUGUAUCACUUCAAUGGAGUUGGGUAUAGAAACUGACAUAGACAUUUAUAAUAUCCUGUGUCACUUUCUUCAGCUGACCCAUCAAUAUCGCUAACAUUCAUUCCACCAAAAAUAUGUGCAAUCCAUGAGGUUCUAACAAAAUGGGAACUGUAAGUUAUGUGGGGCAUAUUUAUUUCCCCACGGUGUUCUGUUGGGUCUGGACUUUACAGUACAAGGACAUGUUCUGAAAUGCAAACAAUGAUUAAUUUUUGUACUUGCAUGUUUAUAAAAAUAAACUUUAUUUUUUAAACCAUAUGACUUCAUUUUCAUUGUAGAAAAUUAACCUGGGUUCAUGGUGGGUAUGGUAAAUCAGUUGAAAAAUUGGUCUUAAUUUUUAUUCCUCCCUGUAAUAAUGUCCCUUAUAUGUAAUUUUAUAACACCUUACAUAAGAGGUGGAGACUAUUUUCCAGCCCCCUGAAUGUGGGAAGGCCUUGUGAUUUGCUUUGGUCAAAAGAACUAGGCAGUAGCACCAAUUCUCUUAUUAGUCCUCAAGAGGCUUUGUGUAUUUCCAUUCUCCUUCAGGCACCUACUUCCACCAUGAUAAUAAAUCUGGGCAACUUGCUAGAAGAUCACAGAUCACAUGGAACUGAGCCAAAAUGUUCUAGCCUCUGAGAGCCAACACCCAGAAGCAGAUCUAACUACUUGACCUAUGUCUCACCACAGAUGUAUGAGGGAACACAGACAUGACCUGAAGAACUGCCCAGCUGGGUUCAGCCUAAAUUAUUGACCCCUAAAGUUUUGAGGAUGACCUCUUUCAACUCUGCCACUUCCAUCCUCACUCUGAGCUGACAGCCUCCCUUUCUCCUUCACAGGGAAAAGGUAAGCCACGAGAGGGGGUCUUUCUCAAGUUCUAGAUAGGGCAGCAAUGAACCAAAGCCUGUAACAUAUGACCCACCGUUUAGCUUACUAAGCUAACUGAGGUUUUGGCAAUUGUUUAAUUAACAUUGAAAAACCAAUUUUUAAAAAUUGACUUUCUAUUUCUGAGGUUGUAGGGUAUAUCAUCUUCAUCUGCUCUCCGUGGUGUCCUUUGGUGAGCUGAUGAGCCAACACACAGGGCCCUGCUUGAAUGCGUGGCAUUUGCUCUGCUCUUAUCCACCACUGUGCCAAGACUUGAGAGCCAUGCAUUUUCCCCCGGCUCAGAUCUUCUGGCUCAUUGUCAGUCAGGUCAUGCCAAAGCUGCUAGCCAACAAAAGCAUAUAGGGAAAAUAAAUUUGUCAUAGGAAAAGUACAGAAAAGUGAUCACUUUUGGGCAGGACUACAGUAAGAACACUGUUAGGCUGCAU